GAAAUGCGAUAAGUAAUGUGAAUUGCAGAAUUCAGUGAAUCAUCGAAUCUUUGAACGCACAUUGCGCCCGCCAGUAUUCUGGCGGGCAUGCCUGUUCGAGCGUCAUUUCAACCAUCAAGCCCCCGGCUUGUGUUGGGGACCUGCGGCUGCCCGCAGGCCCUGAAAAACAGUGGUGGGCUCGCUGUCACACCGAGCGUAGUAGCAUACAUUCUCGCUCAGGGCGUGCUGCGGGUUCCGGCCGCUAAACGACCUUCAUAACCCAAGGUUGACCUCGGAUCAGGUAGGAAGACCCGCUGAACUUAAGC
rnacentral:misc_RNA from 1 species